ACUGGGAGCGCCGUGGCGCCUGGUGUUCGGCGCGAGCCCGGCGGGGCUGCAGGUUCCGCCCUGCUCCGCCGCGCCCCGCCCGGGCUGGGGUAAAGGCCGCGGCCGGGCCAUGCAGUGUCCUCCUCAGGGAGGGCAGGAGAGCCUGAGGAGUGGCGGGGCCGCCAGAGAGCGAAAUGUCAUCAGUGCAGUCACAACAGGAGCAGUUGUCCCAGUCAGAUCCAUCUCCGUCACCAAACUCAUGUAGUUCCUUUGAGCUAAUAGACAUGGAUGCUGGCAGCUUGUAUGAACCAGUUUCUCCCCAUUGGUUUUAUUGUAAGAUAAUAGAUUCUAAGGAGACAUGGAUUCCUUUCAACUCUGAGGAUUCACAGCAGCUGGAAGAGGCAUAUAGCUCUGGAAACUUACAUGCUUGCUGUAACUUUGGAUGAAUGGAAAAAGAAACUGGAAUCUCCCAACAGAGAAAUUAUUAUUUUACACAAUCCAAAGCUUAUGGUGCAUUACCAGCCAGUUGCAGGGUCUGAUGAUUGGGGUUCAACACCCACGGAGCAGGGUCGACCAAGAACUGUGAAGAGAGGAGUUGAGAACAUCUCUGUUGACAUUCAUUGUGGAGAACCUUUACAAAUAGAUCACUUGGUUUUUGUAGUCCAUGGGAUUGGACCAGCUUGUGAUCUCCGCUUUCGAAGCAUUGUACAGUGUGGUA
rnacentral:lncRNA from 1 species